rnacentral:rRNA from 1 species
UGAGGAAUAUUAGUCAAUGGGCGAGAGCCUGAACCAGCCAAGUAGCGUGCAGGAUGACGGCCCUAUGGGUUGUAAACUGCUUUUGUAUGGGGAUAAAGUCAAUCACGUGUGAUUGUUUGCAGGUACCAUACGAAUAAGGACCGGCUAAUUCCGUGCCAGCAGCCGCGGUAAUACGGAAGAUCCGGGCGUUAUCCGGAUUUAUUGGGUUUAAAGGGAGCGUAGGCUGGAGAUUAAGUGUGUUGUGAAAUGUAGACGCUCAACGUCUGACUUGCAGCGCAUACUGGUUUCCUUGAGUACGCACAACGUUGGCGGAAUUCGUCGUGUAGCGGUGAAAUGCUUAGAUAUGACGAAGAACUCCGAUUGCGAAGGCAGCUGACGGGAGCGCAACUGACGCUGAAGCUCGAAGGUGCGGGUAUCGAACAGGAUUAGAUACCCUGGUAGUCCGCACAGUAAACGAUGGAUGCCCGCUGUUGGUACCUGGUAUCAGCGGCUAAGCGAAAGCAUUAAGCAUCCCACCUGGGGAGUACGCCGGCGGU